GUAGGCUACGGGGACAUGGUACCUAAGACAUACGUAGGCAUGCUGGUUGGUGCACUAUGCGCCCUUGCUGGCGUGCUCACUAUUGGUCUGCCUGUUCCCGUUAUCGUUAGCAAC
rfam:Tropilaelaps mercedesae isolate Wuxi-XJTLT scaffold0000022007, whole genome shotgun sequence.